CUUUAAGGACUUCAUCGGGUUUUAUUUCAAAGUUAGACAAUGCAUGCUCGGGAUUUACAUUAGUACUGGUGUUGGUGGUGGUGGUGGGAGGACUGUUAUUAUUAAACACCGAGGAAAAGUAAUUAUUUAAUAGGUUUGCAACGUGUUGGCUGUCAGUCACUAGUGCACCGUCGCUGUUUGUUAAAGGUCCAAUUCCACUUCUGAUCGCCUUUCUGUUGUUUAUGUAACUGAAGAAGGAUUUCGGAUUAUUUUUACAGUUGGCUGCAAUAUUUUCUUCAUAUCUACGCUUUGCCUGAUGCACUAAUCUUUUUACUCGUCGCCUUGCAUCAUUGUAAAGUCUAAUGUCUUCGGGCGUGCUUUGGUCUUUCUUUAACCUGUAAGACAAUUUUCUCUCCUUGACUGAGUGUUUAAUUUCGCUAUUAAACCAAGGUGGACUUUUAUUAGUGUUAAUUCGCUUCUCGCACAAGGGGACAAAUGUGUCCUGCUGAGUGAGUAAAUGAUUUUUAAAGUUUAGCCAGGCGUCCUCUACAUUGCCGUCAUCUGAUAGUUGCAUAUCUAUUAGUUUUCGUCGGAUUUCUACGAAGUUGGCUCUUUUGAAAUUGGGCACCUUAACUUUAUUUUCAGUCACCGAUGUUUGAGCUCUAAUGUCAACGCGCACUAGUUUAUGAUCGCAGGAACCGAGGUGUUCUCCUACCGUGACAUUACUGACUAGGUUAUCUUGGGUCGCUAUAACAAGGUCAAGUAUGUUAUUUUGUCGAGUUGGUUCAGAAACCAUUUGGCUUAGAUAAUUUUCCUCUAGAAAUUCGAUCAUUCUAUGGGACUCACCUUCUGUACCCGACAGUGUCGCCCAGUCGAUAUGGGGGAGGUUAAAGUCUCCUAGUAUCAGUGAGUCGCUGUUAUUAAGUGACUGCUUUAAGACGCUGUACAUUUCAAGAUCGCCAUCAAGUGAUUGCCCCGGAGGCCUGUAAGUGACAGAUAUAUUUAAAUUGACUUUUGCAAUGUUUACUCGCACGCACAAAUGUUCAACGUUACUGUUUCUUGGUGUUUUGUCAGUAGGUUUCUUGGAGAACGAUCUCUAUGAACCACUCGGUGUCCCUCGUACCAGCACUACCAGAGGACACACCUAUAGAUGAAGACACUGGUUUGUAUAAUAAAGAUUCCUAUAAUAUAACGGCAAGGGACAGUAGUCGUGGAAAAUGGUCUCUAUGAACCACUCGGUGUCCCUCGUACCAGCAGCACCAGAGGGCGUACCCAUAGAUGAAGACACUGGUUUGUAUAAUAAAGAUUCCUAUAAUAUAACGGAAAGGGACAGUAGUCGUGGAAAAUGGUCUCAAUGAACCACUCAGUGUCCCUCGUACCAGCACCACCAGAGGACACACUUUGAUAAAAAAAAAAGUAAUGUGUAUAAUAAAAAUUCCUAUAAUUUACCUUGACCAUGCUGACUAUGGAGCUUAGAUACUGUCAUGAACCAACUGAAUCCGCGUCCUGUUAUUAAGUAAGGCUUAAGUAAGUUAAAGUAAGGUUCCUGAAUUCCUGUACUUUUUAUAGGAGGGGACAGUGCCGAUAAGAAAACUACCACUAGGAGUCUUUUGGUUUGCCGCAUAAUCUGUUUCUUGUCCAAAGGCACACAGACGGUCACAAACAGCAUCAUUACAGCUAAUAACACUUGGACAGACGCACAAACUCUUUCCUGGACGCUGGGCAACAAGCACACACCGUUCCUUGCCCCACUGCCUUAGGGUCAUGUUCGUAAACUUUCAGCGCCAAGCACACACAUUUAACAAGGCUUUCAGGGGAUUUGUGGGCAUUUCCAGUGGUAGUAGUUUUAUGACCUGGUGGUAGUCUGGCAAAGUUCCUGCACCAUGAAGGUAAAGACACACUCAAGAUGACGUGUUUAACCUCUUCCUUGGCCUUUAGAAAUGACUGAGGUAAGAGAAGGAUGUGUUUGAGAAUAGUGACCUUAGUGCACCGGAUUGUUACUUAAGGUGGCGUCACACUGGACCAAAUCUGGCGUGCACGAGCUUUUGCUGGCAGCUUUUGUUGGAGGGAUGGCUUGCUCCCGGGCUUUUGCUCCUGCGUUUAGCUCGCCGCUUGGACGGGGAGCAGCUCGGCGAGCCGCAAGCAGGCAGUCAAAUGAGCUCUUUGGUGCACCGAUAUGUGAAUAAUAUAUAUUACCUAGUGUAUUGAAUCCGUAUUAACAUGAUAUUAGAAAACUUAUUUACAUACUCAUUUUAUGUUUGACGGUGUUUGUAAUAUUUUAUAAUGUUGAGAAAAGUUGUGUUGGAUUUUAUUUUGAUUUCCAAGACCAAGACCAAGACCGCCCAGGCCAGCUGAUAUAAACACUCGCCAUGGCCACCUCUCCUCGUUCAAAAGUUCACUUGUCCUCCUUCAUUGUACACUCUUUGAUAUCAAGAGUCAGGGACCAUCCCGAGUUAUGGGACCACGGCCAUCCAGAUUUCUGUAAGUCUACGCUGAAGAAAGUUAUGAUGCUAUGAUGUUGUACACAUAAUGGGUCUCCCUCCCUUCUCUUCAGCCAUGACCGAGCCCAGACUCGUCUUUUCUUCUUCUGAGCUCGUUGAAUAACGGCAAGUAAUGCCGUCACAGCUGCACACUUAGCCGUAAUGCGAAGCGUAGGUGUAGUAGGCGCCAUGGGUGAGGCUUUGUUUACAAUGUUGCUCGCCGCUCGCCCCUCGUCGCUCGUCAGUGUGACGACAACAGUGACUUGCUCGCGAGCAAAAGCUGCCAGCAAGAGCUCGUGCUCGCCAGAUUUAGAUCCAGUGUGACGCCAGCUUUAGCCUUGUGUUACAGCGUGUUGCCUGUGUUAAGUCACGGUGUGUUGGUGGCCGUGUUUCUGAUUAUGGUGACUUUCCAGCAGCCAGAAAAUGUAAAUGUUGAUGGUAAAUGUAAUGUAAGCAAGUAAAUGUAAUGGUUGAUGAAUGCUGCAGCAGGUUUUGGCUGGUAGAGGAGGCAUUCCUCAAGGUGAUAUAUUUCGUCACCUAUUUAACCGGUUUUACUUUUAAUAUCUCCAUGUUGAAUUGAAUGAACACUUUCUUUGGCCUUUUGUGUUAUGAUUUUGUAGUACUUAAUAAUGCUUGCUCACGACUUCCUGACAUAUAUAAAAAGUAAACUGUCAGGGGUUAGAUAACAGUCACUUGUGAAGGGUUUGUUUGCCUUAUAGAUGUUACUGUCUAUUGGCCAGGUCGACAGUCCAACACAGUCACUGUCAGCGCCCAAACCAAACCAUAUUCCCCACAAUGAUCCGUUAUUUAUACUCAAUACCAGGUACUCAUAAAGAGAUUUACUAUAAAGUUUUCUAAAAUUCCCUCCGCCUUUUUAUAUCAACGCCAAACACUGGAGCUACAAGGAAUUUUUGUUGUGUUCUGUGUUUGGUUUGGGAGCUGACAAACCUGAUGUAUUGGCUGUAAACUGUCCCAUGUAACUACUUCUCCAGACCUGAUGUGGAGCACCUGUAUGUUGUUAUAUAAAACUGUCUCAUGUAACUACUUCUCCAGACCUGAUGUGGAGCACCUGUAUGUUGUUAUAUAAAACUGUCCCAUGUAACUACUUCUCCAGACCUGAUGUGGAGCACCGUUAUGUUGUUAUAUAAAACUACUGCAAGUUCUCCGUGAAGGUGUUAGUACAUGUAGAAGGGUGAGUGCAUACACUCUUCAGGUACUUAUUUAUAAACAAUACUUAGGUUAGUACAUGUAUCUAACUGUUCUACAUAUGACUAGACAAAAGUAUAGGACCUUGUGUGACUAGAUAAUUGCUCUGCUGCAGCACAGGAUGUGUAUCUGCUUUAUAACAUUACACACUGAAUCUGCCUGUGAUGAUCUCUUGUACAAUAACCACUGUCUUGAUAAUAAAACAUCUUCUUUAGGUCUUACAGACAACAAA